rnacentral:lncRNA from 1 species
NNNNNNNNNNNNNNNNNNNNNNNNCCGUCGCCUUCCUGGAGCAGCGGCUGCUGUGGCACGACUCCCGUUACUCGGCGCUGGUGCCCUUCUCCCUGCCCCACCGGGACCUCCCGUGGGCCGCCUGAGCCCCCCGGGUGGGAUCUGUCACCCACGGGUGGGAUCUGUCACCCCCGGGUGGGAUCUGUCACCCCCGGGUGGGAUUUGUCACCCUUGGGUGGGAUUUGUCAUCCUCGGGUGGGAUCUGUCACCCCCGGGUGGGAAUUGUCACCCUUGGGUGGGAAUUGUCACCCCCGGGUGGGAUCUGUCACCCCCAGGUGGGAUCUGUCACCCCCGGGUGGGAAUUGUCACCCUCGGGUGGGAAUUGUCACCCCCGGGUGGGAUCUGUCACCCUUGGGUGGGAUCUGUCACCCCCGGGUGGGAAUUGUCACCCCCAGGUGGGAAUUGUCACCCUCGGGUGGGAUCUGUCACCCCCGGGUGGGAUCUGUCACCCUCGGGUGGGAUCUGUCACCCCCGGGUGGGAUCUGUCACCCUUGGGUGGGAUCUGUCACCCCCGGGUGGGAUCUGUCACCCUUGGGUGGGAAUUGUCACCCUCAGGCGGGAUCUGUCACCCCCGGGUGGGAAUUGUCACCCCCGGGUGGGAUCUGUCACCCACGGGUGGGAAUUGUCACCCCCGGGUGGGAUCUGUCACCCUCGGGUGGGAUCUGUCACCCCCGGGUGGGAAUUGUCACCCUUGGGUGGGAUCUGUCACCCCUGGGUGGGAAUUGUCACCCCCGGGUGGGAUCUGUCACCCCCGGGUGGGAUCUGUCACCCCCGGGUGGGAUCUGUCACCCCUGGGUGGGAAUUGUCACCCUCGGGUGGGAUUUGUCCCCUCCAUGGGUGGGAUUUGUCACUCCUGGGUGGGAUCUGUCACCCCCGGGUGGGAAUUGUCACCCUUGGGUGGGAUCUGUCACCCUCGGGUGGGAUCUGUCACCCUCGGGUGGGAUUUGUCACUCCUGGGUGGAAAUUGUCACCCUCGGGUGGGAUCUGUCACCCCAGGGUGGGAUCUGUCACCCUCGGGUGGGAAUUGUCACCCUCGGGUCAAAUUUGUCACCCUCGGGUGGGAUCUGUCACCCCAGGGUGGGAUUUGCCUCCACCUGGGUGGGAUUUGUCCCCCCAAACUGGAUCCAGCCCCGAUCCCAUCGGGAAUUCAGGAAUUUCGUCGGGAAUUCAGGAAUUUCAGCGCUGCUGUGGCCAUUAAAGGGAUUUUUUCACCGAUGUUGUUUUUAUUUUGGGGGGUU